rnacentral:lncRNA from 1 species
AAAAGGGAGAGAGAGAAAAAAAAAAAACUUUGUCCCGCCUACUGAGCAUGCCCGUCUUCCUUUCCCCCCUCCCUCCGGGCUUCCACUCCGGGAGGAGCCGUGGAGUGGAGUUGUUUGCUCGGCGUCUGCCUGCCUCCGGAUCCCCCUCUGAGAACGGGCAUUUUUAAGGAAUCAUUAUUUGUACAUAAAGAAAUAAAAGGUAAAUCCAACAGCCCAGAGACGCUUGCAUUUCAGUAGAAAUGGACUUUCUCGGGUUAAAAGGUGCUGAAAGAGAUCCCACUCAAUCACUCCUGAAUUUCCAGAAACAUAGGCAUUUGUCCAUGUCAAAAUUAUCCACUCAACGGGCAUCUCUUUGGCUCCACCCUCCAGUUUCAGAGUGCCCAAAUGGCAAAAGGCAGAAAUUCUUGUGUGAGGCCGUGAUGUUCAGCGCUACCAGGAGGGGAAAGCCAAGAAAAUCAAAGGAGAGCUGAUCCGGAAUCCUGAAAUUGCUGAGCUCCUGAGUUAACUAGACUUGGAACUCACCUACUUCUGGACUUCAUGUUAAAUGAAAUAGUAAAUCUUUAUUGUUUAAGCCACUUUUUGCCAGUGUCUUGUAAUUUGAAGCCCAACUGAGUGAUUCAUACCGUAGUCACUCGUAUGCACAGCACUCCCUAUUUUAAGUAAAUCCCAGCAUUUCAACGGCAGGUGCCUGCUUGGUUUGCCACCUUGCAGAAGAGGACUAACCAACAGAGUUGACUUCUAGACACAUCUCUUUGAGAUGUCAUCUGUUGACAUUUGUAAGCUGAGAAAUUUUUGUUGCUAUUCACAUGACAACUAAACAUUGAACAAUCUACAGAAACAUAAAAAUGUCUAGACUCUGUGCUUACAAGCACAUAUGUCAUAUGCUUGUAACAUGUGGUGGUUAAAACUCAAUGGUUUUGUUCUGUUGUUAUUUGCAAUUAUUAAAGUAAGCCCUGUUCAUUGUACAAACGUUUAAAGUGCAAAAAGUAUAGUGAAGAAAAUAAUAUCCAGUAAUUCCACCACCCAGAUAUAACCCGUUAAUAUUUUAAAUGUGUAUCUUUAUAGACUUUUUCUGUAUAUACAGUAAAUAUUCUAAUAAAAUAUUAUAUAGUGUAUAUUUUAAUAAAAAU